GACGAACGCUGGCGGCGUGCUUAACACAUGCAAGUCGAACGGAAAGGCCCUGCUUUUGUGGGGUGCUCGAGUGGCGAACGGGUGAGUAACACGUGAGUAACCUGCCCUUGACUUUGGGAUAACUUCAGGAAACUGGGGCUAAUACCGGAUAGGAGCUCCUGCUGCAUGGUGGGGGUUGGAAAGUUUCGGCGGUUGGGGAUGGACUCGCGGCUUAUCAGCUUGUUGGUGGGGUAGUGGCUUACCAAGGCUUUGACGGGUAGCCGGCCUGAGAGGGUGACCGGCCACAGUGGGAAUGAGAUACGGACCAGACUCCUACGGGAGGCAGCAGUGGGGAAUAUUGCACAAUGGGCGGAAGCGUGAUGAAGCAACGCCGCGUGCGGGAUGACGGCCUUCGGGUUGUAAACCGCUUUAGCCUGUGACGAAGCGUGAGUGACGGUAAUGGGUAAAGAAGCACCGGCUAACUACGU
rnacentral:rRNA from 1 species